rnacentral:tRNA from 1 species
CAACAAGUAGUUUAUUAUAUUAAGAAUAUUAAUUUUGGGUAUUAGAGGUGUAGUUGUUUUCUAUUUUGUUGA